UGCAUCAGGCUAAAGGACAACGAGAUAAGAACAAUAUUGCUAGUUGCUAACAAAUGGCAGAUAAAAGAGCUCUUCUGGAUCCUGAUGAAGUGACAGCAUUCUACACAUUCCAGUGAGUUGAGAAAGUUUUCCUGAGAACAGCAGCUAUGUUACAUGUGAAGUACCACUAAACACGCGUAUCUCUGUGUUUUCAAAUUCCAGGAUAUUUGCCGGGAUUCCUCAGGGAGGAAUGACAUUUGAAGACCAGCUGAUAUGCAUGGGAGCACUCAGAAUGGAAAGUAGACCUGCUACUUUAAAAGGUUUUGCUUAAGAAUGGAAAAUACAAAAUUCAGGAGCUCUCCUCCUGUGUCACAGCCCUUUUUUCUGCCCUGUGAAUUACUCAUGGAUCUGGAAGAAUACUUAGAAAAAAAUAAAAAUAGCCAUGUGAAAAAGGCAUUCAAAUCUGGUUAUCUUAAUAUGUAAUCCAUCCUUGAAUAAGAAGAAUAAAUCAAAUGGAAAAUAUACUCAGAGAGCUGGUGUAAAUGUUUUAAUGGUCUGAGAUAGGGAGCCAAGAGCCCUUGUGAUAACAUCAACCUUGCCACCAGUUGACUACAUUGCCUUGGAAAAAUCAAUUUUGUUGUCCUUAUGUGUUUCUCCAUCAUCACAAUGAUUCCUGCCCAUGCCUUUUCCACACAAAGAUCUGUACAGAGAAAGUCAUCCCAUGCAAAAAUCUCUGCAAGGAAUUAAGAGCACCUGCCACUUCCAGAAUACUUACACAGAAUUAACAGCCGAUUGUCAGCGACAUCAAUAUCCUCCCCUCUUUAAUGAACUUUCAGAGGAAUUCCUGUAAAUAACAUCCUUUUGUGGCCAGGAAAUCCUUCAGCGCAUGACUCUGCGGACACUGAGAAGAGGGGAGCAGAGCUAGAAGCCAGAGCUCCUGCAGAGAGAACAAGCCCACGUGCAUAUGGCACUGGGAUCACCAGUCCCUAACGAUGCCACAUGGUCCAAGGGUCUAAACUUAAAGAUAUGGAAGGUUUACAACAAGCUGAGAGAAACUCACCUAUUUCUAUAAGGUAAAAAUGCCUUGCAAAAGAAAGCCAAUAUUAUCAGUCUGUGUGUUAAACAAGCGAACUAGAAGCUCAGAAAAAGCUGUACUCUGACGUGAAACACACACGUAAUUUCGCCUGAUUUCAGUGGGAGCUCUGGGUGUUAGAGGAAGACAUCAGCAGUGGAAUCAUUUCUAUCUUUGUUUUUAAUUGUUAUUAUUUUUGAUAGUAAUCUUAGAGACAAAAAAUCAGAAAUAUCCUACGUGUUCUACAGAGGAUACAGUUACAUAUAAUAAAUACUAUCUGCUUUUCUUGGAAAAUGGCAGUCUGCAGGGAAAAAGUCUUUUUUUAUAAUCAAAGCCAAAGAAUUAUUUUAGAUUUCUUUGUUUUGUUAAUAUCAUGAGGUAAUAUUACUGCUGUUUAAAAUUAUUAGGGUAAGACACUAGGAGUUUACAAGAAUAGGCAGUAGGAUGAUUAUUAGAAGGAUACUGCUGAUUUUAGAUUCAAGUUAGUUUUGUAAUAUGAAGGUUUUGUAAAACAUAAGCCUAAAAGAUGUCUUCUUAAAAUUUCAUUUACAAAGCAACUUUAAAUAUUGGUUAAACUUUGUUUUGUUUUCGGCUACUGCAGGAAAAUCUGCAAGUGAAACUUAAAUGAAAUAGGAACAAGGAUAAAAAAUUCUUCUAGCAUAAUCCAGUAAAAGGAAAGCAAGGAAACGGUGUAACUAAUGGUAAAACAAUGGAUUUUACAUCUUUUCAGUUGCAGCAAAAAUAAGAGAGGACUUUAGUGCUUCUUCUGAUUAACUGAAGUGUUAGUCUGGCAAUAUGCCUUGAAAGUAAUUAUGUGGAGACUAAUAGUACUUCUUAAAACAAUUCUAGACCUGAACAAUAAUGUCAGGUACUGUAGAUGACCUCUCUUAACUAUCUUGCCAUUCCUGUCUCUAGGUCCUGGGAUGACAGUUCACAAGGAAAUACUAUACACAGGAAUGUCAUGUACAUGAUGUAGGUCACAUGUGAGGCACCAAUGUAAAUCUCAUACAAGUACAGAACAGACUACUUACCACUCCCAGAAUAAGUAAAAUAUAAAUCAGCUCCUUUUUCAAAGGCUUGCCUAGUUUUUGACUGGACAAGGAAUCAAAGCACUUGUGGGAAAUGAAACCUAUUCUAAUUAAUCUGACUUCCAGUGAAGUGUUACAUACUUUAUGCUGAAAAAUAGCUCAUUAGGUUGCAAAAAUGUAAUAUGCUUGGACCUUGUACAAAGCAUCUGAGAAUGUCCCAUAUGACAUUCUUGUCUUUAAAUUGGUGAGAGAGGUAUUUCAUGGAUGGACCCCUCAGUGAGUAAGAAAGUGGCUGGAUGGCUGCACUCAAAGAGUUAUGGUCAAAUGAAGGCUGGUAACAAUUGGUGCUCCUCAGGGGUUGGUACUGGAACCAGUACUGCUGAACAUCUUUCUCAGUGACAUGGACAGUGGAACUGAGUGGACUCUCAGCAAGUUUCUGAGCAACACCAAGCUCUGUGGUGCAGUGGGCACGCUGGGGGGAAAGGAUGGACAGCUCUGAGAGGUGGGCUUGUGUGAAUCUCAAAAAGUUCAAUGAGACCAAGUGCAAGGUUGUCCACUUGAGGCAGGAUGAAUCCAAGCUCUAAUACAAGCCGGGUGGAGAAUGGAAAGGAAAUUUUCAACAGGAUGAGAGAGUUGGAGUUUUUCAGCAGGAGAAGAGGAUGCUCCAGGGUGACCUUUAAGCAGCCUACAAGUACCUAAAGGGGGCACAAGGAGAAAACUGCACAUGUAAAAAGAAAUAAUGGAAUAGAUGACUUCCAUAUUUUGCAGCUAAAACCAAUCACAAAAAUCUCUGCCCUAAAACCAAAAAAACAAACAAAGAAAAAACAAAGUACUUAACGCCAGAACGAGCAUGUGAGUUGGAACUGAAAGCAAGGCAACAAGGGUUGCUGGUGACUAAGGGACAGUCCAAGUAUAUCCAAAAAUGCAGUAAAUAUCUAUAACAGUUAAAGCUCACAACAAGAAUUUGUUUCCCACCAACUGAAGUAUGGACCUGCUGUAGCUGCAAACCCCGUCACUGCCUAAAGCAGUUGCUUCUCUUCUCUGUACAUACUGGCGACUUCCACAUCAACUCCCAUCCUCUUUGGAGAAGCUGCCUAAUAAUACCUGCAAGGCUAUCUGAACUGUAGAAGAAAAUAACAGCAACCUGCUCUUGUUUAUUCUCUGCUGUGUUCUAGUAAUAACAAAAUCACAACACUGUGUACAGUAAAUCAGGAGUAUAAAACUUCCUUAAAAAGAUGCCAAUACCUAAACUGUUUAUAUUGACAAAGGUAAUAGAAAAACAGUAUCAAACUUGCAUGUUUAUGUAACCUCCUGUUUUUAUCCAAGUGUUAAUGUUAUACUGUGGGCUUUUGCCUAAAGCAGAUAACGGUAAGGACUGAUUUCAUUGAUGAGUUCAAAAAGGCAGCAUUCACUGCUACUGAGGGUCUCCUCCUUGCAGCUGUUGCAGCGAUGGCUUGUACUUAAUGAAAUUUUCUCCCUCUUUCCUCUGAAAACUUAACACCUAUAAUUUAACAUUUAAAACACAGCCUCUAUUUAUGUAUCUCGAAGUUCAACAAAAAUUCACAUGCUCUGACAGCAUUUUAUUUCUCGUAACAAAAUCAUUAAAUUCAUGCAGCAACAACUGAACUGCUCCAUACACAGUAUAUAGUUAAAACUGCACAACUGAAGCCAAAAUAUGCACAGCUAAAAGGAAUGUUACAGGGGGGCCUCUCUUAGUGAACAAAGCAGGCUCAGUUUGGCUCUUUUUCCCUAGCGCUACCACAUCCGCACAUCGUUAGUUGGAAAAUUCCAGAUAUAUGCUGUAAUUUUUUGUGCUUUUUUUUCCCAGUACACUUGAGGCUUUAGUGUCCAGAUGCCAUUUUCCCCCCCUUAUCUGUCCCUGGUAGUUUGGGUCUUUGCCAGUUGUGGUCAACAAUUAAUACAGCAAAAGAAAAAUACAGUACACUCCCUGGCAACUGGCAGAGGCUCACAGGAAAUACCAAAUAAAAACUUUAUUAUGUAUUGUUUAACUAUUUUGUUUGCCUGUGGGCCACCCUGUUGUUGGUGUAAUUUAGAAAAGCAUGCUCCAUCUGGAUAAUCUGUGCGCAGGCUCAUUGUUCCCAGAAUCUGUCACGCACAAUCACUGCUUCAGCCUGUGGCCCUCUGCAGAAAGAAGCAAAGGCAUGGCAGCCCUCCAGCCUGCAUUCCUUUUCAUUAGACAACUUGUGACCAAAUGUUAGAAUAGAAGAGUAACCUUUUAAUAUUCAUGUAAUUAAUUUACUUUCCCCUUUAAUUAUAAACCUUCACGUGAAAAGAAGAAAAUAAAAAGACUUUCCUUCAUGAUUCUAUUCCAUUCCCCAUCCUUUCUGCUUGUUUUUUGGGACACGGAAGGUGCCAGGAGUAACACAUAGGUACCAGCACCCCUGAA